AUUUUAUUAGUAUAUAAGUACGUCUAAUUUCCAAUUAGAAAGUUUUUUUAAAAAUAAAAUA
rnacentral:tRNA from 1 species